UAGGUUGUUUAAUAAGUCUGUUGUUAAAGACUGGGGCUUAACCCCAGGAAAGCAAUGGAAACUACUAGACUAGAGUAUGGUAGGGGUAAAGGGAAUUUCUAGUGUAGCGGUGAAAUGCGUAGAUAUUAGAAAGAACACCGGUGGCGAAAGCGCUUUACUGGACCAUUACUGACACUCAGAGGCGAAAGCUAGGGUAGCCAAAGGGAUUAGAUACCCCUGUAGUCCUAGCCGUAAACGAUGGAUACUAGAUGUUGCGCUUAUUGUGCAGUGUCGUAGCUAACGCGUUAAGUAUCCCGCCUGGGGAGUACGAUCGCAAGGUUGAAACUCAAAGGAAUUGACGGGGGCCCGCACAAGCGGUGGAGCAUGUGGUUUAAUUCGAUGCAACGCGAAGAACCUUACCAGGGCUUGACAUACUGCAAAUUUUCUUGAAAGAGAAAAGUGCCUUCGGGAAUGCAGAUACAGGUGGUGCAUGGCUGUCGUCAGCUCGUGUCGUGAGAUGUUGGGUUAAGUCCCGCAACGAGCGCAACCCCCGUUUUUAGUUGCCAUUUUAUGGGUUCUCUAGAAAGACUGCCGGUGACAAACCGGAGGAAGGUGGGGAUGACGUCAAGUCAGCAUGCCCCUUAUGCCCUGGGCUACACACGUGCUACAAUGGCUAAGACAAAGAGUCGCGAAUUCGCGAGAAUCAGCUAAUCUCAUAAACUUAGUCUAAGUUCAGAUUGUAGGCUGCAACUCGC
rnacentral:rRNA from 1 species